rnacentral:rRNA from 1 species
UACGUAGGUGGCAAGCGUUAUCCGGAUUUACUGGGUGUAAAGGGCGUGUAGGCGGGACUGCAAGUCAGAUGUGAAACCCAUGGGCUCAACCCAUGGCCUGCAUUUGAAACUGUGGUUCUUGAGUGUCGGAGAGGUAAUCGGAAUUCCGUGUGUAGCGGUGAAAUGCGUAGAUAUACGGAGGAACACCAGUGGCGAAGGCGGAUUACUGGACGAUAACUGACGCUGAGGCGCGAAAGCGUGGGGAGCAAAC